UCUUCUCCGGGUACCGUCAUUAUCGUCCCCGGUGAAAGAAUUUUACAAUCCUAAGACCUUCAUCAUUCACGCGGCAUGGCUGCGUCAGGCUUUCGCCCAUUGCGCAAGAUUCCCCACUGC
rnacentral:rRNA from 1 species